GCCUCGGUGGCGUAGUGGUCAAGACGCACGCCUGGUAAUCAGGAGGGCGUGGGUUCGAUCCCAGCCGAGGUA
rnacentral:tRNA from 1 species